rnacentral:rRNA from 1 species
GUCGGUACAGAGGGUAGCCAAGCCGCGAGGCGGAGCCAAUCUCACAAAACCGAUCGUAGUCCGGAUUGCACUCUGCAACUCGAGUGCAUGAAGUCGGAAUCGCUAGUAAUCGCAGGUCAGCAUACUGCGGUGAAUACGUUCCCGGGUCUUGUACACACCGCCCGUCACACCAUGGGAGUGGGGGAUACCAGAAGUAGGUAGGGUAACCGCAAGGAGUCCGCUUACCACGGUAUGCUUCAUGACUGGGGUGAAGUCGUAACAAGGUAGCCGUAGGGGAACCUGCGGCUGGAUCACCUCCUUUCUAG